UACGAAGGGGGCUAGCGUUGCUCGGAAUCACUGGGCGUAAAGGGUGCGUAGGCGGGUCUUUAAGUCAGGGGUGAAAUCCUGGAGCUCAACUCCAGAACUGCCUUUGAUACUGAGGAUCUUGAGUUCGGGAGAGGUGAGUGGAACUGCGAGUGUAGAGGUGAAAAUUCGUAGAUAUUCGCAAGAACACCAGUGGCGAAGGCGGCUCACUGGCCCGAUACUGACGGCUGAGGCACGAAAGCGUGGGGAGCAAACAGG
rnacentral:rRNA from 1 species